AUUGGACUGAAGUGAUCAUCGAGUGGAAGAAGCGUAACCUGACGAGUCGACGACAGGCUACUGUGGUGAACAUGACGAUGAAGUGGUUGAUUUUGGCUUUCUGCAUCGCCGUGCUGGUCACAGCUGGUGAAGCUGUGCAAUGCCGUAUCUGUAAACCAUAUGUCCCAUUUUGUUUUCUUCAAACGGUUGAGUGUGCCCCGGGCCAAAUCUGCCAUGAUGUCAUCUUCAGCCGUGGCCAGAAGUGCGCGUGGCCGUGACAGUGACAGCGGACAAGCCCCCAACUUGAAGUGCUCCAAAAUGGACCUCUUCGACAAUCCUUUCAGAAAAGUAUCAAAGGAUUGGAGUGUGUUGGUGGUUCAACCUAUCUUCUCUGUAGUUUAGUUGGAAAGCAUUAAAAAACAUGAU